GCCCCCGUUGUCUAAUGGUUAUGACGUCAGACUUCUACUAUGACGUUCUUUGUCUAAUUUGGAUCUGGAGGUUGCGGGUUCGAGUCCCGCCGGGGGUU